GCGGGUGUCGUAUAAUGGUUAUUAUGCAACCUUCCCAAGGUUGAGACGGCGGUUCGAUUCCGCUCAUCCGCUCAA
rnacentral:tRNA from 1 species